GUGAAAUUGUUGAUAGGGAAACGAUUGAAGUCAGUCAUGACCGGUGAGAAAUCAGCUCACAGGCUACUGUCGGGUGCACGUUUUUCGCAAGGCAGGUUAACAUCGGUUUCUGUUGCGUUAUAAUAAUUGUAGGAAGGUGGCUCCUUCGGGAGUGUUAUAGCCUACUUUAGAUGACGUGACGGGGGGACUGAGGAUUGCAGCGGAUGCCUUUGGCUACGGGUCUUGUCUCUGUCGAUCUUCAAUUAGUCUUCAGCUUGCUGAGGUCUGGUUGAUAGGUUUACAAUAGGUUUGAUUCCGUUAAAUUCGCUAAGGAUGUUGACGUAAUGGCUUUAAACGAC
rnacentral:rRNA from 1 species